CUACGGGCUGCUGCAGUGGGGAAUAUUGCACAAUGGGCGCAAGCCUGAUGCAGCCAUGCCGCGUGUAUGAAGAAGGCCUUCGGGUUGUAAAGUACUUUCAGCGGGGAGGAAGGGAGUAAAGUUAAUACCUUUGCUCAUUGACGUUACCCGCAGAAGAAGCACCGGCUAACUCCGUGCCAGCAGCCGCGGUAAUACGGAGGGUGCAAGCGUUGAUCGGAAUUACUGGGCGUAAAGCGCACGCAGGCGGUUUGUUAAGUCAGAUGUGAAAUCCCCGGGCUCAACCUGGGAACUGCAUCUGAUACUGGCAAGCUUGAGGCUCGUAGAGGGGGGUAGAAUUCCAGGUGUAGCGGUGAAAUGCGUAGAGAUCUGGAGGAAUACCGGUGGCGAAGGCGGCCCCCUGGACGAAGACUGACGCUCAGGUGCGAAAGCGUGGGGAGCAAACAGGAUUAGAUACCCUAGUAGUC
rnacentral:rRNA from 1 species